rnacentral:rRNA from 1 species
AUUGAACGCUGGCGGCAGGCCUAACACAUGCAAGUCGAGCGAGCGGCGGACGGGUGAGUAAUGUAUGGGGACUGCCCGAUAGAGGGGGAUAACUACUGGAAACGGUAGCUAAUACCGCAUACUAUCGGAUAACCCAUGUGGGAUUAGCUAGUAGGGGAGGUAAUGGCUCAACUAGGCGACGAUCCCUAGCGGGUCUGAGAGGAUGAUCAGCCACACUGUGACUGAGACACGGCCCAGACUCCUACGGAGGCAGCAGUGGGGAAUAUUGCACAAUGGGCGCAAGCCUGAUGCAGCCAUGCCGCGUGUAUGAUGAAGGCCUUAGGAUUGUAAAGUACUUUCAGUAGGGAGGCGUUACCGACAGAAGAAGCACCGGCUAACUCCGUGCCAGCAGCCGCGGUAAUUC